rnacentral:rRNA from 1 species
UACAGAGGGGGCAAGCGUUAUUCGGAAUUAUUGGGCGUAAAGGGCGCGUAGGCGGCUUUUCAAGUGACGGGUGAAAUCCCUCGGCUUAACCGAGGAACUGCCUGUCAGACUGGAAGGCUUGAGACCGGGAGAGGUGAGUGGAAUUCCCAGUGUAGCGGUGAAAUGCGUAGAUAUUGGGAGGAACACCAGUGGCGAAGGCGGCUCACUGGACCGGAACUGACGCUGAGGCGCGAAAGCGUGGGGAGCAAACAGGAUUAGAAACCCCCGUAGUCC